rnacentral:rRNA from 1 species
GAUGAACGCUGGCGGCGUGCUUAACACAUGCAAGUCGAACGAAGCAUGUAAGUGGAUCCCUUCGGGGUGAAGCUUACAUGACUUAGUGGCGGACGGGUGAGUAACGCGUGGGUAACCUGCCUCAUACAGGGGGAUAACAGUUGGAAACGACUGCUAAAACCGCAUAACCCGCUAGUGUCGCAUGACACGGCGGGAAAAUAUCUAUAGGUAUGAGACGGGCCCGAGUCUGAUUAGCUAGUUGGUGGGGUAAUGGCCUACCAAGGCAACGAUCAGUAGCCGACUUGAGAGAGUGAUCGGCCACAUUGGGACUGAGACACGGCCCAAACUCCUACGGGAGGCAGCAGUGGGGAAUAUUGCACAAUGGGCGAAAGCCUGAUGCAGCGACGCCGCGUGAGUGAAGAAGUAUUUCGGUAUGUAAAGCUCUAUCAGCAGGGAAGAUAAUGACAGUACCUGACUAAGAAGCCCCGGCUAACUACGUGCCAGCCGCCGCAGUAACAC